UUCUUCCCCAGCCUCCUGUCUUACCGUCUUCUUGGCCGUCUCCAGCUUCUGCAGCCAGUGCCUCAGCUUCCCAGAGGGCUGAUGCGAAGGAGCCUCAGCGGCCACCUGCAAGGGGAGCGUGCGGCACCUCCGCCAGCUCGGAAUACGCCGGGGAUCCGUACUGGGAGAGGCGGCAGCUCUUCUUCAGGGCAGCCUGGGGGAAGGCGCCCGCCAGCAGGGGCCCCAGGCCCACCACCAGCACCGCGGCAAACACAGGGCACAGCAUCUUCGUGUCCAGCUGCGACAAGGAUGCAAAGAUCCAGAAAGAUAGGAGGAGGAGAGGACGACCGGUGUCCGAACCCACGAAAUCCCUCGAGACGCCUCGAGUCCUCGUUUCUUGUGUCCAGAGCUGUGCUGUCUCUCGAACCUGCCGCUCUGCCCCAUCUCCCCGGCUUUUAAGCAGCCGGGCAGUGCCGCGCUUUCACCUUGGCAGGAAAACCCGCGGCGCGGCGGCUCCGCGACAGGAAAGUGAAAGCGCCUGCGAGGAAAGCCCAGGCUGCAGGUGUGCCUGCAGGUGAGGGCACUGCGGGGACGUGGCGGCUGGGAAGGGGCUGGGGGUGUGGUGGGAUCCUGCGGUGCCGCGUGUGGGUUUUCUUCUCCCUCUCCAGCGGGACGUGGGAAAUGCUGAACGCGGCGCUCCCAUGGCAGCCGCACAAGAACACGCCUGCACAAGAAGAAGCUGCGCCUUCCUCGGGGCAGCCUGAGCCCUGAAGCCGUAAUCACACUCCGUUUUGUGCGUUCAUUCAUCAGUACUUGUGACAAAACGUACCCUGUGUGUGUGUGUAAAGAGCAGCUCUGCGCUAGCGCGGCACCGAAUAACGCGCUCGCCUGUUUGCCACCAUAAAAAUGCACCCACGUAGCCAAAAGCUGCCCUCUCCUCUAGGCAGCCUGAGGUGAGAACCAAUAAAUGCCUUUUGUUUUGUGCAUUAAUCAACCAUUAAA